AAAUAGCUUGGCGAAUAAGUGGUGGGCAAGACCGGUGCCAGCCGCCGCGGUAACACCGGCGCCACAAGUGGGGAUCAUAUUUAUUGGGUCUAAAGCAUCCGUAGCCGGUUCAGCAACUCUUUUGUGAAAUCGUUGUGCUUAACAUAACGACGUGCAAAGGAAACUACUGGACUUGGGACCGGGAGAGGUUAGAGGUAUUCUGAGGGAAGCGGUAAAAUGCGAUAAUCCUUAGAGGACCACCAAUGGCGUAGGCAUCUAACUAGAACGGGUCCGACGGUGAGGGAUGAAGGCUAGGGGAGCGAUCCGGAUUAGAUACAAUCUUAUUUGUUUUAUCUGGAGGAUUUUCAAGACGCUUAAAACUACUCUGAAAAUUCUCUUAGACAAAUUUGUAUCAAAAAAGAUUGCUAAAUACCCGAGAAUGAAAAGUGGCAAAAUCACUAAUAAAUUUUGUAAUGUUACUUUUCAUCGGGAAUAGUCCUAGCAGUAAACGCUGUGAGCUAUGUGUUACAUAUUCUUAGGGAAUAUGUAGUGCCGAAGCGAAGGCAUUAAGCUCACCACCUGGGAAGUACAGUCGCAAGACCGAAACUUAAAGGAAUGGGCGGGGGCGCACCACAAGGGGUGUAGUGUGCGGUUCAAUUGGAUUCUACGCCGGGAAUCUUACCAUGAGCGACGGCAGAAUGAAGGUCAGAUUAAAGGUUUUACCUAACGAGCCGAGAGAUAGUGCAUGGCCGCCGUCAGUUCGUGCUGUGAAGUGUCCUGCUAAGCCAGGCAACGAACAAGACCUAUACCUACAUUUGCCAACAUCUCAAUUUGAGGAGUGAGCACAAUGUAGGGACUGCCCGGGAAACUGGGAGGAAGGUGUAGGCAACGGUAGGUCCGUAUGCUUCGAAUCUCAUGGGCUACACGCGCGCGACAAUGGUCGGAACAAUGGGAUGCAACUCUGAAAAGAGAAGCCAACCCUCUAAAUCCGAUCUCAGUUCAGAUUGAGGGCUGCAACUCGCCCUCAUGACGCUGGAAUCCCUAGUAAUCGCUUUUCAACAUGAAGCGGUGAAUACGUCCCUGUGCCUUGCACACACCGCCCGUCAAGCCAACCGAGCAGGGUUUAGGUGAGUGUUAAUUUUUUGAUUAACUCGAACCUAAGUUCAGUAAGGUGGGCUAAGUCGUCACAAGGUAACUGUAGGGGAACCUGCAGUUG
rnacentral:rRNA from 1 species